GAGGGCUAGCGCAAAUUGUGGCACCGGCAACUCGCUGAGGCACUUCCUGUUGCAGGUUGCGGUGCCGCGGCGAAUCGUGGCAGCUGCCUCGAGUUUACGGCAACUGCCUCGCCUGUUGCCUCGGCUGAGUGAGGUACCUCGAGCGGUACCACGAAUUCAGGGACCGGUUCAUCGGUCGAGAGAGGUACCUCCAGCGGUACCUCGAGUUAAGGGAGUCUUGCCACGACCUAACGGAGGCAUGCAACGACAAAAGGGAGCGGUGCAUCGGCUGAUAGAGCUUCCUGUUUGACGUGAGCUGACAGCUGUCUGGUGCGCUCUCCCUCGGCCUGGACCUCGUUCUCUGCUCACUGGGCUUCACCGUUGCCGGCCAAACGCCCGUAUUCUUCUGUUUGUGUUUGUGUUCAUUAAAACACUUUACGUUC